AAAUUGGUUUCCACAUUUGUCAAAGAUACAAGAUAUGCUGGAUACACAUAUGACAAAGUUAGAUUGGUAACUAAAAGAAAUGAAUACAAGUUACAAAAUUUCGGAAUCCUGUGUUACAAAAUUUUUAUGUCUUGUCAUAGGGGACUUCAUCAUGAGUUAGAAAUCCUUUUCCAGGUUUUUGCAUCACUAGUGUCAAAGUCGAGGCUGUUCCCUUCUUAUGUUGAAUAUACAAAAAGCAACCCCCCUUUUUUCUCCUUUUCGUAUGGCUCCUCGAUACUUCUCCAGAGCCGACUUAAAAAAGCA
rnacentral:misc_RNA from 1 species